AUAGACCGCGAGCCACGAACAGAUUUCCAUGACCAAUCGCCUCCCGGGCGAUAACUCGUAUAUCAUUGCUGCUGCUCCGUUGGUGGGUUGAGGAAUGGCAGCCACCGAAACAUGUAAAAAAAUAAAAUAAA